rnacentral:rRNA from 1 species
UACGUAGGGGGCGAGCGUUGUCCGGAUUUACUGGGCGUAAAGGGCGUGCAGGCGGUCUGUUAAGUCUAGGGUGAAAGCUCCCGGCUCAACUGGGAGAGGUCCUUGGAUACUGGCGGACUUGAGGGAGGCAGAGGAGAAUGGAAUUCCCGGUGUAGUGGUGAUAUGCGUAGAUAUCGGGAGGAACACCAGUGGCGAAGGCGGUUCUCUGGGCCUUACCUGACGCUGAGACGCGAAAGCGUGGGGAGCGAACCGG